AUUGAACGCUGGCGGCAGGCCUAACACAUGCAAGUCGAACGAGUGGCGGACGGGUGAGUAAUGUCUGGGAAACUGCCUGAUGGAGGGGGAUAACUACUGGAAACGGUAGCUAAUACCGCAUACCAUCAGAUGUGCCCAGAUGGGAUUAGCUAGUUGGUGGGGUAACGUCUCACCAAGGCGACGAUCCCUAGCUGGUCUGAGAGGAUGACCAGGCACAAUGGAACAGAUGCCACAUCCCGCAGUCUACGGUUGGUAGGAGUGGGGAAUAUUACACACAGGACGCAAGCCGGAUGCAGCCAUGCCGCGAGAAUGAAGAAGGCCUUCGGGGUGUAAAGGACUUUCAGCGGGGAGGUGUUACCCGAAGAAGAAGCACCGGCUAACUCCGUGCCAGCAGCCGCGGUAAUAC
rnacentral:rRNA from 1 species